GCCCGGAUGGCUCAGUUGGUUGAGCAUCCGACUUCAGUUCAGGUCAUGAUCUCACAGCUCGUGAGUUCGAGCCCCACGCCGGGCU
rnacentral:tRNA from 1 species